rnacentral:lncRNA from 1 species
GUGCUGUUUGUUCUUUCUCUGUGCAGAAAUGUCAGCGUCCUGCUCAUUGUUGUUUUUUUUUCUCCCCCCCACCCCCCUCUCUCUUCAGGGUCCUGGAUGGAGGAAGGUCAGCUGACAUGGCAAGGUCGACAAACAAACAAACAAACAGAAGGAAUUAAAAUAGAGAAAAACAGAGCAGAUGAAACGUGGCGCUGGUGUGUUUUUAUCGCUGCGAGGCUGAUGGCAUGUAGCAGCCAUUACUCUCCGUUGUGUCCUCUGCCCCCCAUUGGCUGCGACAACACCGCCUGGCAGGGCUGCCAGUGUCACGUCAUCUCAUGCUUCUGCUUAACUACGCGGACGACAAGGGCCGUUUCACACCAGGACGGGGUUUUUCUGCCUCUUGCUCCUCAGUGGGUGUUGACAAACCUUGCCUUCCUGCUCUCGGGCACGUAUGGAUGCUCGCUCGGAGAACGUGACCUCUGCUAAACGCGCCUAUCUCGCCUGAAUGGAAGAAGAAGAGCAUGAAAAGACCGCUGCUGAAUGCUGCUGGGUAAAGAAGUGUGCUGUACGCAAUGAAGAGAAUGGGCCCCGAUGGGGGGAAGAGGAGGGUGGAUGACGAUUAGGAUGACGGUGAUCAUGAUGGCGAUAAUGAUAAUG